rnacentral:rRNA from 1 species
AGCUCCAAUAGCGUAUAUUAAAGUUGUUGUGGUUAAAAAGCUCGUAGUUGGAUCUCAACAGACUUGGAUCGGUUUACUUUGUGUAAUACUGAUCCAAAGCUGUGCUUUUGUCAGAGGUUUAGCGGUGCUCUUAACCGAGUGUCGCUGAGUGCUGACAGGUUUACUUUGAAAAAAUUAGGGUGCUUAAGGCGGGCUGUUAUGCUCGAAUAUUUGUGCAUGGAAUAAUAGAAUAGGAUGUUGAUCUUAUUUUGUUGGUUUUCGAGACUUGACAUAAUGAUUAAUAGGGACAGUCGGGAGCAUUUGUAUUCAAACGACAGAGGUGAAAUUCUUGGACCGUUUGAAGACAAACUACUGCGAAAGCAUUUGCCAAGAAUGUUUUCA